GGGGAAUAUUGGACAAUGGGCGCAAGCCUGAUCCAGCAAUGCCGCGUGGGUGAAGAAGGCCUUCGGGUUGUAAAGCCCUUUUGUACGGGAAGAAAACCCACUCGUUAAUACCGGGUGGGAAUGACGGUACCGUAAGAAUAAGCACCGGCUAACUUCGUGCCAGCAGCCGCGGUAAUACGGGGGGUGCGAGCGUUGUCCGGAAUCACUGGGCGUAAAGGGCGCGUAGGUGGUCUGAUAAGGGUGUGGUGAAAGCCCGGGGCUCAACCCCGGGUCGGCCGUGCCGACUGUUGGACUAGAGUGCUGUAGGGGCAGGCGGAAUUCCGGGUGUAGCGGUGGAAUGCGUAGAGAUCCGGAGGAAGACCGGUGGCGAAGGCGGCCUGCUGGGCAGAUACUGACACUGAGGCGCGACAGCGUGGGGAGCAA
rnacentral:rRNA from 1 species